ACUCGUCGGUGUCGCUCCAUCUUCCAAAAAUCGUUCAUCGAACAUCGCUCCGUCGUGGAGCGUUGUUCUUCUUUAGCUUGGUCAAGGUCGCUCCAUCGCCGUCGUUUCGAGUUGUCGUGCAGUAUCCUUUUGUGCAAAAUCAACGAUUCGUUUUCCCCCAAAUCGAUUGUUAUUCCUGAUGAUCAAUUGCAUCUUCUGUUGGUUUCUUCUUUUUUGGCUACCGGGACGGUGGCGACUUCUGUGAGAAUUUCGUUUCUGAUGUUUCAAGAAAAGCUAGGGGCACAAGGAGGCUUUAAAUAAAUUGAUUUAUGCUUGUGUGGAGAAGGAAUCCGAUAAAAAACCUACUGAAAUUGCUUUUGUUGGCCUUAUUUACCCUGCCAAGUGUAAAGCUUUGGGAGCUGAUUAUGUCAAACUUUUCAGAGCUUCUUGGGUGAAGCAUUUUGAUAGGAAGUUUUGCUAAGGUAAUGGGUGGGAUGAGUUGGAACCUCUCGACGAGCCGAAGCCGUCUCUAGCUCUUGCAAACAUUCAGGCUGCUCAAAAGUGACCUGUAUCUCAACCUGUCUCACAAACAAAACCACCAAGUUCAAGAAGUACAGCCCGACCAGCUAAAGAAGAUGACGAUCUUUGGGGUUCCAUAGCUGCCCCUACUCUAAGAACUAUCUCAAAAUUAUUGAAUGUAAAAUCAAGUGCAGCUACGACUCGAGCCAAGCAAUUGUCAGCUGGUAGGGGAAGAGGAAGCAAAGCAGCUGUUCCAAAAUUAGGGGCACAAAGGACUAAUCAAACAUCUUCUACUGAUUGAUACACGAAAACCAUACUCACAGGUGGAGUUAAAUGAGGUGCAGGUUAAGUUGGCUGAUUUUUUGGGUUCGUACAUAUGAUUGCGAUUUAUUUAGGAUUCUGAAGCAGGAAACUUUUUGUUGUGGCUGAUUUUUUGAAUUGUUCAUAUGGAGGGGGGUUGGUUGGUAUACUUUUGAGACUUUAUUGUGAUAGCAACUUUGAAGCUUUAUUGAUAGGUUAUUUGUUCAUAGGUGAAUAGUUCAUAUGGAUGAUAGGUUAAUUAUUCAUAAGAGUUGAAUUGUUCUGAAACUUUGUUGUUGUAGCCAUUCUGAAACUCUGAUGGAAUUGUAUAUUGGUUUUGUAAAUGAUAGGAAUAUUUGCAAAGUUUUGGAAAUGAUAUGGUGAAAGGUUUUAUA